UGGGGAAUAUUGCACAAUGGGCGCAAGCCUGAUGCAGCCAUGCCGCGUGUGUGAAGAAGGCCUUCGGGUUGUAAAGCACUUUCAGCGAGGAGGAAGGUGGUGAGCUUAAUACGCUCAUCAAUUGACGUUACUCGCAGAAGAAGCACCGGCUAACUCCGUGCCAGCAGCCGCGGUAAUACGGAGGGUGCAAGCGUUAAUCGGAAUUACUGGGCGUAAAGCGCACGCAGGCGGUUUGUUAAGUCAGAUGUGAAAUCCCCGGGCUCAACCUGGGAACUGCAUUUGAAACUGGCAAGCUAGAGUCUCGUAGAGGGGGGUAGAAUUCCAGGUGUAGCGGUGAAAUGCGUAGAGAUCUGGAGGAAUACCGGUGGCGAAGGCGGCCCCCUGGACGAAGACUGACGCUCAGGUGCGAAAGCGUGGGGAGCAAACAGGAUUAGAUACCCCUGGUAGUCCACGCUGUAAACGAUGUCGAUUUUGGAGGUUGUGCCCUUGAGGCGUGGCUUCCGGAGCUAACGCGUUAAAUCGACCGCCUGGGGAGUACGGCCGCAAGGUUAAAACUUAAAGGAAUUGAC
rnacentral:rRNA from 1 species